rnacentral:rRNA from 1 species
GACGAACGCUGGCGGCGUGCUUAACACAUGCAAGUCGAACGGAAAGGCCCUGCCUUUGUGGGGUGCUCGAGUGGCGAACGGGUGAGUAACACGUGAGUAACCUGCCCUUGACUUUGGGAUAACUUCAGGAAACUGUGGCUAAUACCGGAUAGGAGCUCCUGCUGCAUGGUGGGGGUUGGAAAGUUUCGGCGGUUGGGGAUGGACUCGCGGCUUAUCAGCUUGUUGGUGGGGUAGUGGCUUACCAAGGCGUUGACGGGUAGCCGGCCUGAGAGGGUGACCGGGCACAUUGGGACUGAGGUACGGGCCAGAGUCCAUCGGGAGGCAGCAGUGGGGGAUAGUGCACGAUGGGCGGAAGCCUGGUGCAGGAACGCCGGGUGCGGGAUGACGGCCGUCGGGGUGUAAACCGCGUUCGCCUGUGACGAAGCGUGAGUGACGGUAAUGGGUAAAGAAGCACCGGCUAACUACGUG